AGAGAUCUACAGACAAAAUAAACCAAGAAGAGACUUCUCAGAAGAAAAAGUAAAGAAUGGGAAAGAAACAUAUUAGGAAAGGUUCCUCAUCCCUCGCCAUAAA